rnacentral:rRNA from 1 species
GACGAACGCUGGCGGCGUGCCUCAGACAUGCAAGUCGAACGAUUAAAGCUCUCUUCGGAGAGUGUAUAGAGUGGCGCACGGGUGAGUAACACGUAAGUAAUCUACCCUCGAGUGGGGAAUAACAACCGGAACGGUUGCUAAUACCGCAUAAUGCAGCGGCACCGCAAGGUGACAGUUGUUAAAGAUUUAUCGCUUGAGGAGGAGCUUGCGGCAGAUUAGCUAGUUGGUAGGGUAACGGCUUACCAAGGCUACGAUCUGUAACCGGUCUAAGAGGACGGUCGGUCACACUGACACUGAAUAACGGGUCAGACUCCUACGGGAGGCAGCAGUCGGGAAUUUUGGGCAAUGGGCGAAAGCCUGACCCAGCAACGCCGCGUGAAGGAUGAAGUAUUUCGGUAUGUAAACUUCGAAAGAAUAGGAAGAAUUAAUGACGGUACUAUUUAUAAGGUCGGCUAACUACGUGCCAGCAGCCGCGGUAAU